AUCUUCAUGAGGUGUAAUGGCGCCGGGAUGCGCUCUCCUCUUCUCAUUUGCCAAUUUAUUGCAGAUCCCUCCUCAAAAAAGUUUUGGGACUAACUCAGCCCCAUGGAGAUCAAGGUGAAUUAGAAAAACAACAAAACAAAACAAGAUUCAUUUUAACAUCUCAUUUUUCUAUCUCCAACUUUCCCUCCCCUCCUCCCACCCCAGGAAGAAAAGACUACGUUUGUUUCUGGUGAUACAUUCAUUGUAGGUGGGUGGGUGACUUCUAGAAGAGGAAAAUCAAGAAGAUUUGGAGAAGGAGUCUUGGAAGCUCUGGUGAAGUUUUCCAAAACUGGGAAGGACAGAGCCACAGGUCUGCCUGUUCUUUUGCUUUGCCAUUUGUGUGGAUACCUAGUAGAGCAAUUUGGGUGCCAUUCUUUGAGGAAUCCAUUGGAUCUGUCAGAAAGCUGAGUCUGCUCAGCCUGUGUUAGUGGAGAAGAGGGAAGGAAACUGGCUGGAGGCCGCUGGACCCACAGAGGACAAUAGACAAUCUCCUGCUAGAAAUGACAAACCAGUAUCUUGAGUAAAAUAAUGACUUGGACUGUAAGAAAUUAAUUAGAAAACAUCUGUGCAAUGUAGUGGAAGAAAAAGAAAAUGAGACCCAGAAGACCCAAAUCACAAAUCAAAAGGACCUCACAGAAGAUUCUACAAUUGAGAUUAUUUAUCCUGGCUAAGAAGGAAUCAGUGGCCUUAAGAAGACAAUCUUGAAAAAGGACCUAAGUGAUGGAUGCCCACUGGAUCCAAAGAGAGAAACUCUAUAGAAUUAUGAUCUAGGUUUGACUGACUCCUGGCAAGAAGCCCUACCCGCCAGCCAAUUUGGAUGAGCUCUUAUGCUCCAGAUCCAUCAUGAGAAGAACAUGCCCUGGAUUCCUGCUAUCCCUUUAGCCAUGGCUCCAAAAUUAACACACACAAGGAAGACCUGAGGUCAAUCCACAGCCUGGAUUCAAGUCACCUAAUACAUAGGAGAAUCAGAGCUACCCAGCCACACUCAAUCUACGUUAACUGAACCUCAGCUGACCUGCAGAUUUAUGAGUAUGAGAAUAAAGGCUUGUUAAUGUA
rnacentral:lncRNA from 1 species